GCCGAGGUGGUGAAAUUGGUAGACACGACGGAUUCAAAAUCCGUUGAACCUUGGUUCGUGUGGGUUCGAGUCCCACCCUCGGUA
rnacentral:tRNA from 1 species